GACGAACGCUGGCGGCGUGCUUAACACAUGCAAGUCGAACGGAAAGGCCCUGCUUGCGUGGUGUUCUCGAGUGGCACAGGGGUGUGUCACACGUGUGUAACCUGCUCUACUUUUUGGUAUGCCUUCAGGAAAGGGGGGCUAAUCCCAUAUAGGACAUCCUGCUGCGGGGUGGGGGUUGGAAUUUUCGGGCGGGUGGGGGUGGACUCGCGGCUAAUCAGCUUGUUGGUGGGUGAGUGGCUUACCAAGCCUCGGACGGGUAGCCGGCCUGAGAGGGUGGCCGGCCACAUUGGGACUGAGAUACGGCCCAGACUCCUACGGGAGGCAGCAGUGGGGAAUAUUGCACAAUGGGCGGAAGCCUGAUGCAGCGACGCCGCGUGCGGGAUGACGGCCUUCGGGUUGUAAACAGCUUUCGCCUGGGACGAAGCUUGUGUGACGGUAACCGAUAAAGAAGCACCGGCUAACUACGUG
rnacentral:rRNA from 1 species